rnacentral:rRNA from 1 species
UCUGGAAACUNUCUGACUUGAGUGCAGAAGGGGAGAGUGGAAUUCCAUGUGUAGCGGUGAAAUGCGUAGAUAUAUGGAGGAACACCAGUGGCGAAAGCGGCUCUCUGGUCUGUCACUGACGCUGAGGCUCGAAAGCGUGGGUAGCGAACAGGAUUAGAUACCCUGGUAGUNCACGCCGUAAACGAUGAGUGCUAGGUGUUAGGCCCUUUCCGGGGCUUAGUGCCGGAGCUAACGCAAUAAGCACUCCGCCUGGGGAGUACGACCGCAAGGUUGAAACUCAAAGGAAUUGACGGGGGCCCGCACAAGCGGUGGAGCAUGUGGUUUAAUUCGAAGCAACGCGAAGAACCUUACCAGGUCUUGACAUCCCGAUGCUAUUCUUAGAGAUAGGAAGUUACUUCGGUACAUCGGAGACAGGUGGUGCAUGGUUGUCGUCAGCUCGUGUCGUGAGAUGUUGGGUUAAGUCCCGCAACGAGCGCAACCCUUAUUGUUAGUUGCCAUCAUUAAGUUGGGCACUCUAGCGAGACUGCCGGUAAUAAACCGGAGGAAGGUGGGGAUGACGUCAAAUCAUCAUGCCCCUUAUGACCUGGGCUACACACGUGCUACAAUGGUCGGUACAACGAGUUGCGAGCCGGUGACGGCAAGCUAAUCUCUGAAAGCCGAUCUCAGUUCGGAUUGGAGGCUGCAACUC